AAUAAUGUUUUUAAAUAAAAAUAAUUUCUGAUUUAAAAUAAAAAUAAAAACAACAAUUGUUUAUUUUCAAAUAAUGGAUGUAAUUUACAUUAUACUAUCAUUUAACAAGUAUUAGAUACGUUUUGAUAUAUCAUUAUUUUCUAUUUCCAGAAAACAAUAAAUUGUUAAACAUCAAUAUCAUCUAGGUUAAGUAUACGAACAACAAAAAUUCAAACAUCACAAAAAAUAUUUACAUAACCAUUAUAAUACAAUAAUUUAAUCA
rnacentral:lncRNA from 1 species